rnacentral:rRNA from 1 species
AUGCCACGAAACCACCGAACAUCUUUGGUUUUGGAGCUACAAGGCGCGCGGGGAAAAACAUCAGAGAAGCUGCCCCAACAAAAUGAAAAAAUCACACAGUCUACACUCUUGAAGGAGCAAAAGAGACAAAGAGCGAAGACCACACCCAGUAAGGGCUACAACCAGCAUACAUAUUUAGAGGUUAAGAAUCACGACCAGCUAAUAAAUCUAUGUCUUCAUAGCGAGAAGCCACCCCCGAAGCAAGGAGUCCUUUCACAGCACUGGUUCAGUCCUAGCCAGGGUGAGGAGAGGCGGUGCUCGCGCCAAAUGUUCCAUCCUUUGCACCAGGAGACGACAUCUCCUCUUGGCGGGAUCCGCGCACCUGAUCUCCCACAAGGUUAA